AUAUAAGGCUACAAGAGUAAAAAAAUAUGGAAUAUUCUAAUAUUCGCACCACAUUUGUUUUUAUAAACGAAAU
ensembl:ncRNA F09B9.8 ncRNA